rnacentral:rRNA from 1 species
UGGGGAAUCUUGGACAAUGGGGGAAACCCUGAUCCAGCCAUGCCGCGUGAGCGAUGACGGCCUUAGGGUUGUAAAGCUCUUUCAACGGUGACGAUAAUGACGGUAGCCGUAGAAGAAGUCCCGGCUAACUCCGUGCCAGCAGCCGCGGUAAUACGGAGGGGACUAGCGUUGUUCGGAAUUACUGGGCGUAAAGCGCGCGUAGGCGGAUCGUUAAGUCGGGGGUGAAAUCCCGGGGCUCAACCCCGGAACUGCCUUCGAUACUGGCGAUCUAGAGGUCAAGAGAGGCGAGUGGAAUUCCGAGUGUAGAGGUGAAAUUCGUAGAUAUUCGGAGGAACACCAGUGGCGAAGGCGGCUCGCUGGCUUGAUACUGACGCUGAGGUGCGAAAGUGUGGGGAGCAAACAGGAUUAGAUACCCCCGUAGUCC